rnacentral:lncRNA from 1 species
CAGGCUGAGAAGAUCCAAACAAGCCACCUCUACUAAAUCACAUGGGCAAGAUAGAGGCUCCCCUACUUUGCCAUCAAGUGAACAAGAUGCACCAUCCCUCUUCACUCCAAAAAGAGAUCAUUCCACACCCUUCCAAUCUCCUGCCAGAAAGAGAGCCACACCGCUCAAGUCUUCGGUGUCAGAUCAAUCCACACCCUUCAUAUCAUCCAUGGCAGUAAAGGCAGCAUCCCUUCCCCCUUCCCCAGGUUCUAGAAAAAAUGCCUUAACUGGCUCAAAACAUGAGGAGGGCGUGUCCCUGGAGGAGGAACUGCAGGCAAAGGAAGAAGCACAGGAACCAUGGAGAAGUGAGAAACAUGACUACUUUACUGUUUGCCUCUCAUUCUAUUGAAAACAGUAAAUUAUUUAUUGGUAUCUUGUAUACUUUAAAUUCACCAUAAGGUCUAUCAAAUUAAAAAAAAAAAACCCUGUCAUAUUGACACCUUUAUCAGAGAUUAUGGCAUUAUGUAUACUUUCCCCACACAGAUCGCCUGGAUAGUGAUGUAAUGGAAUCCAGCGAAUCAAGAGCAUCCUCUGGCAGUGAUGUUGUCAUCAUACCACAACCUCGUCAGUCUAUUUCAAAGGUACAGGUAAUACAGGCUGGGCAUGAAAGCA